UUUCCACGCACGUUUUCUCCGUCAGCCUGUUUCUUUGCGCGGCGCUAGAUGCCGUAGUUUCCGCUUCCGGUAGCGAGAAGCCUUGGGGUCGGCUAGGUACUGAGCGCGCCAGGCUUUGGAGUGAAGACUUAAAUCCAAGGUCAUGGCAAGACAUCUGAAGUUCAUCGCAAGGACUGUGAUGGUACAGGAAGGGAACGUGGAAAGCGCAUACAGGACCCUAAA